rnacentral:rRNA from 1 species
UGCGUAGGCGGCUUGGUAAGUCAGAUGUGAAAUCCUGGGGCUCAACCUCGGAACUGCAUUUGAUACUGCCAGGCUAGAGUACUGGAGAGGAGACUGGAAUUCACGGUGUAGCAGUGAAAUGCGUAGAUAUUCGGAAGAACACCGGUGGCGAAGGCGGCUUACUGGCCCAUUACUGACGCUGAGGCUCGAAGCGUGGGGAGCAAACA